rnacentral:rRNA from 1 species
UUGCGACCCCAGGUCAGGCGG